AACGAACGCUGGCGGCAUGCCUAACACAUGCAAGUCGAACGAGACCUUCGGGUCUAGUGGCGCACGGGUGCGUAACGCGUGGGAAUCUGCCCUUGGGUACGGAACAACAGUUAGAAAUGACUGCUAAUACCGUAUAAUGACUCCGGUCCAAAGAUUUAUCGCCCAAGGAUGAGCCCGCGUCGGAUUAGCUAGUUGGUGAGGUAAAAGCUCACCAAGGCGACGAUCCGUAGCUGGUCUGAGAGGAUGAUCAGCCACACUGGGACUGAGACACGGCCCAGACUCCUACGGGAGGCAGCAGUGGGGAAUAUUGGACAAUGGGCGAAAGCCUGAUCCAGCAAUGCCGCGUGAGUGAUGAAGGCCUUAGGGUUGUAAAGCUCUUUUACCCGGGAUGAUAAUGACAGUACCGGGAGAAUAAGCCCCGGCUAACUCCGUGCCAGCCGCCGCCGUAA
rnacentral:rRNA from 1 species